rnacentral:rRNA from 1 species
GAUGGACGCUAGCUACAGGCUUAACACAUGCAAGUCGAGGGGCAGCGGUAUCGAAAGCUUGCUUUCGGUAGCCGGCGACCGGCGCACGGGUGAGUAACGCGUAUCGAACCUGCCUCAUACUCGGGAAUAGCCUUGCGAAAGUAAGAUUAAUGCCCGGUGUUUUCAGAGUCCCGCAUGAGGCUUUGAACAAAGAUUUAUCGGUAUGAGAUGGCGAUGCGUCCCAUUAGCUUGUUGGCGGGGUAACGGCCCACCAAGGCAUCGAUGGGUAGGGGUUCUGAGAGGAAGGUCCCCCACAUUGGAACUGAGACACGGUCCAAACUCCUACGGGAGGCAGCAGUGAGGAAUAUUGGUCAAUGGGCGGAAGCCUGAACCAGCCAAGUAGCGUGCAGGAAGACGGCCCUCCGGGUUGUAAACUGCUUUUAGUUGGGAAUAAAACGGGGCUCGUGAGCCCCCUUGCAUGUACCAUCAGAAAAAGGACCGGCUAAUUCCGUG